CAGGUUUUAUUUAGCGGGGGGUAUCCAGCGGGUCUGGAAUAAAUACGUAACGUGUGACAGGUCUGAACAAAAUUCUUUCCUGUGCGUGAGUGGCUGAUGUUAUUCCAUAACUAUUUCGACAGGAUAAUUCCAUAACUAUUUGUGCAAGAGACUGGAAGAGAUAAGGGCUGCAGAAGUUAAACAGGCUAUUUCCUGUCGAUUGGCUGCUGGUGUCUAUAUUGCAGAAGCAGGUGUUCACAAAAUUACUCAGAUGCUUAAAAUGGUGCAUAACUGGAAUCACCUGGAAAAAAUGAACAACACUUGGAAAAUCUACUUGACAGAGAUCUGGAGAAGCAUCCUGAAAUGAUACAGGUUUGAAGAUGUCUAUAUUUCCAUGAGGGUAGGCAAGAAAAAAAGAGUGAAUAGUUCUUGGCAGCCACUUUUUGUAAGGUAAAUACUGUGGAGAUGACCGGAAAUUUGUCUUCAAGCACUGUAAACACUUCAAUGUCUAUCCUUCUCAUUCCUUGUUGGUUGCAGCAAUAAUUUAUAUUUAUUGUUCUAAUGCUCUCCUGUACUCUGUUAUUCCUAUAAUGAAAUAGGGGCCCAAAUUUAAGGAACACUGUCAAGGUGGCUACCUGACUGCUUUUCUGGUAAAGCAUUAGUAAAUGUUGAGAGUAUUAAACCUUCUUAAAUGUGCUUGUAAGGACACAUUUCACUUGAGACAUCAAGUUCUUGAACAUCUCAGGGCAGUCUGAGUUUUAACAAGAUUUUUAUGGCCUCAAGACUAUGAAGGCUUAUAGCCUUUUUUUAAUCUGUUUUCUUUUUAAUAGAUGCCUUACUCUAAACCGUCCCAUGAUAUUCUAAACCAUCCCAUCUCACGUGGAGAACAGAUGCUGAAUUCUGCCCUUUUUAAAAUGCCAUGCUCUGAAACUCUGAUGGUUUCUCCUUUUCACUUAGAAAUAGUGACAAAAAGCCAACGCAGGACCGUGACAUGACCUUCCUGGCCCUUAUUUCUCCAUUUAAUGUACCUGAAGGACUUACUAAAAUUUUAUUUCUGGUUUCCGUUCAUGGGCUCUGAAAACUUAGCAUAUUUUACACAUUCCAAAGUUUCUUUGAUUGUGGCUGAAAAACAUACAAACCUCUGCUUAGCUGUUAAGUAAUUUCUGCCUUCAUUGUAGUGCUAUAGGAACAAUGAAGUUUAAAUUCUCUUUUGAGAAAACUGCAGAUUUAAGGAGGAAGACUGGGCAGCAAAAUGAUUAUAAUUAACAUGCAUUUAAGAUUUUUCAUGUGAUAGGUCUUCCAAAGCCAUGGAAUUUGGAGCUGCAUAAAAAUACAUAUAAGCUUACCUGAAGUAAUUGCAUCUACAGUUUCUAAAAUGGGUCCAUUGGUGACAGAGUACACUUGGAGUUCUUACCCCACCCUCACCAGUGUUGGGUCCCUUCUCAAGUGCCUCUGUUCUCCUCUUUCUUGCUCUAUCUCUGCAGGUGAGUGGCCUGAUGGCUUCAUUUCAGCACAGGCACAAUCAAAUCAUCCCAACUGGUGACCCUUCUGACAAGCAGCUGCAGAAAUGAAGACUUUUAAUGCACUUUAAACCUGACACACAUCUCACACAGUUAUUUUGGGCUUUUUGAGGUGCAGGGCAGAGUAAAUGUUUGCACAAUUCUGAAAAAACACAGCUAGGGGAAAGUUCUUAAGAAAAUAUCUCAUUAUUCUGGGAUUACCCUGCAAAAACUUGGAGAAAUUUUUAUUUCUACAAGUUCUAUCUUGGUAACUUAUUUAUAUCCAUUAAUUAUCCCAUAACUCCUCAAUGAGCCCUUACCAGGUAAGACCAGACUAGGUAACAAGAGUCUUUCCCCACCAGUGUGCACUGGCAUCACUCAUUUACUGUAGCUCCAAUUAAUGGUAGUAGAAGUUACACUUGUAAAUUCCCCCACGCAUUAAUGAGUGAACAGACCCCCUCUGUUUAGUUAACCAUCUUCCAGUUACCUGGCACUUUCCCCAUCCCUUGUGAGAUCUCAAAUAUUUAAUUAAAGCCUUUCUUUUUUUUUUCCCUUUUUCUUUUUUUUUCCUCCCCCCACUCUCCUUCAUUCAGUUUGUUGAGUUGUAAUUCUUGUUGGCCUGAUGCCUUGGCAACAUUCAGCACUUCUAAUUGCCUGUAUAGUCUGGCCUAGUCAUGGAGCCUUUUAACUUUCAUUCAGGCUUCCAGCAGUAUCAGCCUCACUGGUCACAAGCUUCCCACUCAGGUUCCGUUCACAGCCCUUUUGCUGAUUACUUGUUAUGUAUUUAAAGAGCUCCAUACUGUUUAUUUCAUUUCCUGUUUGAGAUAGUCUGUUUGCUUAAUUUUUUUCUAUGCUAAUUUAAUUUUAAACAUAUAGGGCUGUCUUCCUGGUCAAACAAGCCAGAAUUUUUCAUCCAUAUGUUACAUUAAAUAAUAAUAAAACAACAAAUAAUAGUCAAUGCUUUCUACUUCUAUAAUGUCUACCAUUCAAUGAUCUCAUAGCAUUCUUAUUUUACAAGUGGUAAAAUGGUGUCAAGAGACAUGAACUACUUGUUAAACAAUAUGUAUGACAUCUGUUACAGAGCCAGACACAGGAUUGAAUAGUUGGGUUUUCACUAAUAGCAGUUAGUCUAAAAAUUGCAAUAUGCUAUAGGAAUUAUUAGGUUAAAAUAUGCUUCAACAGAGUGGGCUGUACCCUGGUGGAGACACGUAUUGUAGAGACUUUUGUUCUCAGAAUAUCAUCUUUAUUGGCAUAUAGGGUGCAGAAUGGACAGGGGAAUCCAAUGGAUAUUCAUGUGGACUCUGUAAAGGUCAGAAUGCGAGGGCAAAGAAGAGCCAGCACAAUUGUUUCUGUAGCAAGUGUGAGUGGAGGCCAGCCUUGAAAAGAAGAAGGAACAUUCCCUGCUGGCUGGGGUAGGUUCCCUAACACGGUGGUAAGCAUGGUGAAAUGAUCUUUCAUAGUUUUCAGGAGUGAAAUCAGAUUAGUUCUUCUGGUGACACAAAGUUUACCAGGGGCUCCAUAGAAAUAACAAGGUGGACUAGAAAGCUAACAGCUGAGAUAAGUGGAAGUAAAAAAAUCUUCAAAUGCUUAAAUGAAAUCUGAUUGUUUCCUUAAGAACAACUCAAAUUGUGAUCAUGUCUGAAAAGCAGUAAUAUACCAAACAGCUUGCUCCAAAUUAAAAAGGAUUUAAUUUGUAACAAAAAUGUAUGUCCAAUUAUUUAUAUAUUUCUACU